rnacentral:rRNA from 1 species
AGUGAACGCUGGCGGCAGGCCUAACACAUGCAAGUCGAGCGGCAGCGCGGGGGCAACCCUGGCGGCGAGCGGCGGACGGGUGAGGAAUUCGUCGGAAUCUGCCUUUUUGUGGGGGAUAACGUAGGGAAACUUACGCUAAUACCGCAUACGUCCUACGGGAGAAAGUGGGGGACCGCAAGGCCUCACGCAGAAAGAUGAGCCGACGACCGAUUAGCUAGUUGGUGGGGUAAAGGCCCACCAAGGCGACGAUCGGUAGCUGGUCUGAGAGGAUGAUCAGCCACACUGGGACUGAGACACGGCCCAGACGCCUACGGGAGGCAGCAGUGGGGAAUAUUGGACAAUGGGCGCAAGCCUGAUCCAGCCAUGCCGCGUGUGUGAAGAAGGCCUUCGGGUUGUAAAGCACUUUUGUCCGGAAAGAAAUCCCUGGAGCUAAUACCUUCGGGGGAUGACGGUACCGGAAGAAUAAGCACCGGCUAACUUCGU